GCUACUACCGAUUGAAUGGUUUAGUGAGGACUCCUGAUUGGCGCCGCCGCCCCGGCAACGGAGCAGCGGACUGCCGAAAAGUUGUUCAAACUUGAUCAUUUAGAGGAAGUAAAAGUCGUAACAAGGUUUCCGUAGGUGAACCUGCAGAAGGAUGUGAACC
rnacentral:misc_RNA from 1 species